ACGUGGAACUAAUGUUCUGAGUUGUGGGGAAAUAAUUGUGUGUGACCCCCCAGCCCUAUUUAAGAUCAGAGCAUAAAGGCUUAGCAUUGUCUUUGGGGCUGGAGUUUGUGCAGAGGUUUGGUGAGGCUGGUAUUGGUUGGCAGAGCCUUGCUGAUAUAGUUACCCGAAGCUUAGCUUUCCCUACCCUCCUUACCAGCUGCAGUGAGGUUUUAAUUGGUGCCCUCCCCUUCUUUAGCGGUCUCCCAGUGGUUUCAAGCUGUGUUGCUGCCACAAAGCACAGAGCAUGGGGCUCAGAUACAGCACAGAUGAUGCAUUUGUUGUUUUCUAUGUGAAAACUACCAGUCGUAAAGCUGUGGCAUCAACCAUCAAGGCAGAAAUGCUCCCGUGUGAGUCUGAGGUUCCUUCAGAUGCUGUGCCAAGGACUGAUAAAACGCUGCCUACAUCAGAAACCAACAUGGGAACUGGUGGGAUCCAGUCUGCUGCAGGAGCCCGAGAGCUGAAGGAUGAGGGGCCCCAAAGACCUGCUGUUUUCUCGGAGGACAAGGAGGAUGAGCAAGCGCCUGCAGUGAACUAGGAAACUUUCUGAACUUUCAAAUGGAGAGUGAUGGGGAGUUCAGACACAGACCUGAGUAGCUGGAAUCGCAGCCAAAGGGCCAACUUCGUGUAACCAGGCCUUUAAGCUUCAGAGUUUAGCAGUGAUAGAUAUUUCCCAGUCUCAAGAAGGUAUGGUAACUGAAGAAGAUGAAAACAGGGAGGCAACAGACUCAUGUCUUCUGAUGCCUCAAGUGAACUGGCCUGAGCUUUGGACUCCAGACCAAGUAAUGGUGAAAUCUCAUGCUCUUCAUACCUUUUCUUCCUUUUCCACCCCCCCCCCCCCUUCAAAGAAAAAGGUGAAAACCAUGUCUGCACCCCCAGCACGAGAACUCAGUCCCCUGAGCCUGCAGUGCCAGAAUGAGCUGGAUGGACCGAGUCCUGCACUGAAAGGGAUCUACUUGCUACUCUGGCUUGUGAAACACAUGGUGUAUCAAAUUUUGAGGUGGGGUCUGGACAGCAUGCUUGUACGUGUGGCGUGGGAGCUCGUUUGUGUGUCUUGGGUUUUUAAAAGUGGUGAUCUCUGUUUCUCUAGGAAUGUUGCAUCUAAAACAUAGUGGCCAAAUAUAUAGCCAUUUUCUCCUUUAACACUAAUCCCCUAAAUAAUGGGUACCUUUCCAAUUGUGAGAGACCACUGAAGUCUCCUCUUUGUGUAGAACGCUGGUGAAAGAAAUUUUAAUAUUUAACUAUCAAUAAAAUCAAUUUUAUGAUCA